rnacentral:rRNA from 1 species
ACUCAAAGGAAUAGACGGGGGCUCACACAAGCGGUGGAGCAUGUGGUUCAAUUCGAAGCAACGCGAAGAACCUUACCCGGGUUUGAAAUCCACGGAUGAGGCCUGCGAAAGCGGGAUUCUCUGCCCGCAAGGGUGAAACGUGGACAGGUGUUGCAUGGCUGUCGUCAGCUCGUGUCGUGAGAUGUCGGGUUAAGUCCCUCAACGAGCGAAACCCUUGUCUCUAGUUGCCAACGGUUCGGCCGGGGACUCUAGAGAGACUGCCGUUGUGAAAACGGAGGAAGGUGGGGAUGACGUCAAGUCAUCAUGGCCUUUAUGUCCGGGGCUACACACGUGCUACAAUGGCCGGUACAAAGGGAUGCUAAGCCGCGAGGUAGAGCAAAACCCAGAAAGCCGGCCCCAGUUCAGAUUGGAGGCUGCAACCCGCCUCCAUGAAGACGGAAUCGCUAGUAAUCGCGGAUCAGCUACGCCGCGGUGAAUAUGUUCCUGGGCCUUGUACACACCGCCCGU